rnacentral:lncRNA from 1 species
CUCGGUAAACUCACCCAAAACCAUUUAAGAGCUUGGAAUUAGAGAUGCCAUGUGCUGACACCUGGGCUCACCACAUGCCAUAUUAGAUGGCCCUUGUCAACCAUUUGCAAAUGUUAGUUGCGUAGAGAGAUUGAAUUUUUACAACCCAUUAUGAAAAUGGUCACGCUAAACACUGUAAUUAAUUAACUAAUGUGUUGCUUUUGUUUUCGAAGUUUGAGUUCAUUGCUUUAUUCUUAGAAAAAGGAACCUAACAAACCAAAUUCUACUACCAUUGUCGUGCUGCUGGGAUACAUUAAUUAGGGAAUGUUUUACCAUUCAUCAUCGAUUUCAAUUCAAAAAGCUAAUUUUGUAGGGGACCAUGCUAUAAUUCUAUAAUUCAAAGUUAGUGUCCGAUAACACUUAUUUUAAUUCUAAAAUGUUUUGAAGGUUCAUGAAGAAUAGUUGGCAUGUAGAAUCUGUGAUUCAUGACAAGUGUAAGGAUAACAUGGAAUCAUCCCGGCAUCAAAUGUUUCAAACUACCCAUCAGCAGCUUAUGAUGUUUCUUCAGAACAUGCAUAUAAAUCUAUAAUAUAUUGGACUUGCACGUAUUUUUUUUUUCAUGUUUCACUUUUCAGUAAAUGUACAUGAUUUUGUCAAUUCCAUAUUCAAAUUUGUUACCAUUUAUUUACUGUAUAAUAACCCAAUUAACCAUGUAACAUGACCAUCAAUUCAAUUCAGUUGAUAGUUUGACUCUGUUAUGUUGUUAUUCUGAGAUUUGUAGGCUUAAGGAGAAUAUAUGUACUGAUUAUUGCUUCAAACCUGGCCAAUGCUGAAGCCAUUUCAUCACAUGUUUGAUCACUAUAUUGUCCUUACACUAUGCCAGACACAUAAAAAGCCAUAGAUAAGUAUAAAAUGAUAUCAUUUUUUUGCUGUUCCCUUUCAUUAUAUUAAUCGAAGGAAUAAUUCAAAAAUAAAUCAGCCAACACAAAAGUGAGAAGCAAAGUUGACCAAUGGAUUUUCCUUCCAUUUGCCUCAUUUUGCUCAAAGAAUAAUAAAAUCAAACUUUAGGGGAUGUUAGUAUAAUGUGACAUAUUUUUUUCACACAUUAGCAGUUACUGCUCUCGUUAGAGUGAGCUGUGACUCAAUUUAACAUCUAAAAUGUAUAAUGUAAGCAAUGUGUGAUAGAAUCUAAUGAUAUAUAUAUAUCAUAUAUGUAUUGAAACAACUUGCAUUUUCUUAUUUUGUUAUGCCCUUUAAUGUAUGGGUAGAGUAAUUAGCAUUUGGACAUCUUUCCCUUUGUUUCUGUAAAUUAGUCUCACUUAGCUUCAUGUUUAAUCAUAUAUCUGCAUGAUUAAAUCCCAUAAACACUUGGAAAGUUGUCGGAUUUGGAAUAUCCUCCAUGACCAGCAUCAAGUGUUUUUAACUUAGUCUUAGAUGAAAGUGAGUUCAGUAAGCAUUCACCAGACUUGGCACCACAAAUACCAGUGACAAUAAC